rnacentral:rRNA from 1 species
GAUGAACGCUAGCGGCAGGCCUAAUACAUGCAAGUCGAACGGGAUUGAGGAGCUUGCUCCUCAUGAGAGUGGCGCACGGGUGCGUAACACGUAUGUAACCUACCUUAAUCAGGGGAAUAGCCUCUAGAAAGAGAGAUUAACAUCGCCUAAAAUCACACUACGGCAUCAUAGAAUGAUCAAAUAUUUAUAGGAUUAAGAUGGGCAGGCGGAACAUUAGAUAGUUGGUAAGGUAACGGCUUACCAAGGCUACGAUGUUUAGGGGAUCUGAGAGGAUGGCCACCCACACUGGUACUGAGCCACGGACCAGACGCCUACGGGAGGCAGCAGUAAGGAAUAUUGGUCAAUGGGCGGAAGCCUGAACCAGCCAUGCCGCGUGCAGGAAGACGGCCCUACGGGUUGUAAACUGCUUUUGUACCGGAAUAAACCUUUCUACGUGUAGGAAGCUGAAUGUACGGUAAGAAUAAGGAUCGGCUAACUCCGUGCCAGCCGCCGCCGUAA